AUGUGUAGUAUAAAGAAAAAUACACACUUAGCAGAACUUAUCCAAAAAACUUCUCUUAUUGUAUGGGAUGAGGCCCCUGUUAAUAAUAGAUAUUGUUUUGAAGCAUUGGAUCGUACACUUAGAGAUAUAUUAUCAGAAACAAGGCAAAAUGCAGAAAAUAAGCAAUUUGGUGGUAUAACUGUUGUGCUUGGUGGAGAUUUUCGACAAACACUUCCAGUAAUACAAAAUGCAACAAAAGCCCAAAUUCUAAGGUCAUGCAUUGUUAAUUCUUAUUUAUGGAGACAAUGUAAGCUUCUCCAGUUAACUGAAAAUAUGAGGCUGAUGUCAGGAAAUCUCUCCACCUCAGACAGAGAGGAGCUAAGUAAUUUUGCUGAAUGGCUUCUUAGGGUGGGCAAUGGAACAGAACCUAUUGUUUCUGUCCCAAAUGAUUCCAGUAACUCAUUUAUAAAGAUUCCAGAGUCUUUGCUUCUGUCAUCAGAUUGUAGGAACCUUGAUGGAUUGAUAUCAUUUGUCUAUGACUUAGGUUCUGAGCCAGCAAAUAUUUCAUCAUAUUUGUGUCAAUGUGCAAUUUUAGCACCUACAAAUGAGGUGGUUUCAGAUAUAAAUACCAGAAUGAUUGCUCAGCUAAAAAUGUCUGAAAUGUCUUACUAUAGUUCUGAUUUAAUUGACGAUAGCACUGCUAAUCAUUCCACUCUUGAAGCAUUAUACCCAACAGAGUUUCUAAACACAAUUCCGAUGCCCGGACUUCCUGACCAUAAGUUGCACUUGAAGAUUGGUGUUCCAAUUAUGCUUUUGCGCAAUCUUGAUCCAUCAAGGGGACUUUGUAAUGGUACUAGGCUGAUUGUCACCCAAUUGACAAAUCGUGUGAUUGAAGGUGAAAUCAUAACAGGGAAGGCUACAGGUUCAAAAGUAUAUAUCCCACACAUUGUCACAACAUCAACUCACUCAAGGUGGCCCUUCAAAUUGAGACGGCGCCAGUUCCCCGUGCGCCUUUCGUAUGCAAUGACCAUAAACAAGGGCAAACCUUAA
rnacentral:rRNA from 1 species